rnacentral:rRNA from 1 species
AACGGAGCUUAAAGAGCUUGCUUUUUAAGCUUAGUGGCGAACGGGUGAGUAACGCGUGAGUAACCUGCCCUAGAGUGGGGGACAACAGUUGGAAACGACUGCUAAUACCGCAUAAGCCCACGGUACCGCAUGGUACUGAGGGAAAAGGAUUUAUUCGCUUUAGGAUGGACUCGCGUCCAAUUAGCUAGUUGGUGAGGUAAUGGCCCACCAAGGCGACGAUUGGUAGCCGGACUGAGAGGUUGAACGGCCACAUUGGGACUGAGACACGGCCCAGACUCCUACGGGAGGCAGCAGUGGGGGAUAUUGCACAAUGGGGGAAACCCUGAUGCAGCGACGCCGCGUGGAGGAAGAAGGUUUUCGGAUUGUAAACUCCUGUCGUUAGGGACGAUAAUGACGGUACCUAACAAGAAAGCACCGGCUAACUACGUGCCAGCAGCCGCGGUAAAACGUAGGGUGCAAGCGUUGUCCGGAAUUACUGGGUGUAAAGGGAGCGCAGGCGGGAAGACAAGUUGGAAGUGAAAACCAUGGGCUCAACCCAUGAAUUGCUUUCAAAACUGUUUUUCUUGAGUAGUGCAGAGGUAGAUGGAAUUCCCGGUGUAGCGGUGGAAUGCGUAGAUAUCGGGAGGAACACCAGUGGCGAAGGCGGUCUACUGGGCACCAACUGACGCUGAGGCUCGAAAGCAUGGGUAGCAAACAGGAUUAGAUACCCUGGUAGUCCAUGCCGUAAACGAUGAUUACUAGGUGUUGGGGGAUUGACCCC